rnacentral:rRNA from 1 species
AGCAGCCGCGGUAAUUCCAGCUCCAAUAGCGUAUAUUAAAGUUGUUGCAGUUAAAAAGCUCGUAGUUGAAUUUCGGGACUAAUAUGUCGGUCGUACUUUGUACGUACUAGCAUUAUUGGUUUCUCCCUUCUGACGAACCACGAUGUCAUUAAUUUGGUGUCAUGGGAAAUCAGGACUGUUACUUUGAAAAAAUUAGAGUGUUUAAAGCAAGCUCGCGCUUGAAUACAUUAGCAUGGAAUAAUGAAAUAGGACGUUUGAUUCUAUUUUGUUGGUUUCUAGGAUCGACGUAAUGAUUAAUAGGGAUAGUUGGGGGCAUUAGUAUUCAAUUGUCAGAGGUGAAAUUCUUGGAUUUAUUGAAGACUAACUACUGCGAAAGCAUUUGCCAAGGAUGUUUUCAUUAAUCAAGAACGAAAGUUAGGGGAUCGAAGACGAUCAGAUACCGUCGUAGUCUUAACCAUAAACUAUGCCGACUAGGGAUCGGAUGAUGUUAAUUUUUAAUGUACUCAU